rnacentral:rRNA from 1 species
AGAGUUUGAUCCUGGCUUAGGACGAACGCUGGCGGCGUGCCUAACACAUGCAAGUCGAACGGAGUUAAUGAUUUCGGUUGUUAACUUAGUGGCGAACGGGUGAGUAACGCGUGAACAACCUGACCCAAAGAGGGGGAUAACAUUUGGAAACAGAUGCUAAUACCGCAUAAGACCACAACGUCACAUGGCGAAGGGGUCAAAGGAGCAAUCCGCUUUGGGAGGGGUUCGCGUCCCAUUAGGUAGUAGGCGGGGUAACAGCCCACCUAGCCAACGAUGGGUAGCCGAGCUGAGAGGCUGAUCGGCCACACUGGAACUGAGACACGGUCCAGACUCCUACGGGAGGCAGCAGUGGGGAAUAUUGGGCAAUGGGCGCAAGCCCUGACCCAGCAACGCCGCGUGAGGGAAGAAGGUUUUCGGAUUGUAAACCUCUGUCGCAGAAGACGAAGGAAGUGACGGUAUUCUGUGAGGAAGCCCCGGCUAACUACGUGCCAGCCGCCGC